GCCGAGAUGGCGGAACUGGCAGACGCGCCAGACUCAAAAUCUGGUAGGGGCAACCCUGUGCGGGUUCGAUUCCCGCUCUCGGCA
rnacentral:tRNA from 1 species